rnacentral:tRNA from 1 species
GUGGGUAUAGUUCAGUCGGUUAGAACGCCAGAUUGUGGAUCUGGAGGUCGUCGGUUCAAGUCCGACUAUCCACCCCA